UUUGCCGGUUAACAGGUCGAAUCUGAACCCCGUCAGGUCCGGAAGGAAGCAGCGGUAAGAGGAAAGCUUGUGUAGCCGGCUUUUUA
rnacentral:SRP_RNA from 1 species